UUUUUUUCAAAUAAUAUUUUCAGCGAAAGAUGUAAAUUAGUCAAAUUUUUAGGUUAUUAGCGUGACCAUAAUUAAAACAUUAAUCAAACUCCAUAAUUAAAACACUUAUCAGAUAAAGGUGGAACACAUAAAUUUCAUAAAUAAAACACUUUAAAUUGCGAUUGAUAGUUGCUGUGAUUCGUCGUUGCAUCCAACGGCAGACAAACGAACAAAUUUUUGAUAACUGUCGAUGGUCGUUGUCGCCUAAGUAUCCGUACAUGAUCUCCCAAUACUUAGACUCUGUGACAAAGUAAACAUGCUGCUCCUUCCAGUAAUCAAUCUUCUCUUCAAUACCUCACACCUUACCAUCAUCUACCUCAUCCUUAACCUCUUUCUUCUUAGCCCAUAUUUCCAUCUCCUCGUCUAUUAUCAUCAAUGCUCUCUCCAACUCAGAAUCUUCUUCACCUCGCCGUUUCAUCUUCCACUUCUUGUAACCGUAAUCUGAAUCAAUAUUCAUUUCUAUUGUAUUCUUCAAAAAAUUUAGGCGUUCAUCUUUUCUUUACGACUGAGUUUUCCUUCCCACUUCUUCACGUAUUUCAUCGCACUGUAUGGUGACAAUGGAGACAUAAGUUUCGACGGUGAUGAUGAUGGCAGAAUCUCCGUCAAGUUGCUACGAACUCUCCUCCAACACUCUUAAUGACGUCAUCAAUCCGCCCCCUUUCUUUGCUUCUUACCUCUGUUUUGCAACUCUCCAGUGAUGAAGCUUAAUUAGUGGCU
rnacentral:sRNA from 1 species